CGCCCUAGUUCUGACCGUAAACUAUGCCAUCUAGCGAUCCGAUGGGGUAUUGUUGCCUUGUCGAGGAGCUUCCCGGAAACGAAAGUCUUUCGGUUCCUGGGGUAGUAUGGUUGCAAAGCUGAAACUUAAAGAAAUUGACGGAAUGGCACCACCAGGAGUGGAGCCUGCGGCUUAAUUUGACUCAACACGGGAAAACUCACCCGGCCCGGACACCGUAAGGAUUGACAGAUUGAAAGCUCUUUCUCGAUUUGGUGGUUGGUGGUGCAUGGCCGUUCUUAGUUGGNGGAGCGAUUUGUCUGGUUUAUUCCGAUAACGAGCGAGACUCUAGCCUGCUAAAUAGUGGCUGGAUUUUUACGUCCAGUCUACUUC
rnacentral:rRNA from 1 species